AAAAGACAACGUUAUGGAAAAUAUUUCGCAUCUUAAUAGUUUGAUGAAAUAGUCAUCAUUUUUCACUUGUGAAAAACACUGGCCACACUGGGCUGUGCAAAACACUUGGCUUUCUAAAUCAAACAUACUUAAAGGGUUUAUGGCCAUUUUCCACUCUAUAUACAUUCUAGUUCUAAUUUUUUAAUGCAAUGCAAGUACCUGUCUCAGAAGGGCCAUUAUAGAAGAAGAGCGUCUAUCGGGCAUGCACGUUGAAAAUGAACAUGAUACGAUUCUAUUGUAAGAUGAUAUAAUAUUAAUCGUGAUUUUUUCUAGUAAAAUCAGUGAAUGUUUUGCAUAAUUGUCAUUAAUACAGAUGCAGCCCUUGAAAAUAUGGAUGUAAAUUAACAGUAUUAAAAAUAAAAAAAACUUU